AUUGAACGCUGGCGGCAUGCCUAACACAUGCAAGUCGAACGGCAGCACGGUCUAGCUUGCUAGAUGGGUGGCGAGUGGCGAACGGGUGAGUAACGCGUAGGAAUAUACCUUGAAGAGGGGGACAACGUGGGGAAACUCAAGCUAAUACCGCAUAAGCUCUUAGAAGGGAAGCUGGGGACCUUCGGGCCUGGCGCUUCAAGAAUAGCCUGCGUCCGAUUAGCUAGUUGGUGGGGUAAGGGCCUACCAAGGCGCCGAUCGGUAGCUGGUCUGAGAGGGUGGCCAGCCACACUGGAUCUGAGACGCGGUCCAGGCUCCUACGGGAGGCAGCAGUGGGGAAUAUUGGACAAUGGGGGCAACCCUGAACCAGCAAUGCCGCGUGUGUGAAGAAGGCCUGAGGGUUGUAAAGCACUUUCAGUGGGGAGGAGGGUUGAUAGGUUAAGGGCUAAUUGACUGGACGUUACCCACAGAAGAAGCACCGGCUAACUCCGUGCCAGCAGCCGCGGUAACAC
rnacentral:rRNA from 1 species